AUUGAACGCUGGCGGUAUGCUUAACACAUGCAAGUCGAACGGUAGCAGGCCUUCGGGCGCUGACGAGUGGCGGACGGGUGAGUAACGCGUAGGAAUCUGCCUCAUAGUGGGGGACAACGUGGGGAAACUCACGCUAAUACCGCAUACGCCCUACGGGGGAAAGCGGGGGAUCUUCGGACCUCGCGCUAUGAGAUGAGCCUGCGUUAGAUUAGCUAGUUGGUAGGGUAAAGGCCUACCAAGGCGACGAUCUAUAGCUGGUCUGAGAGGACGAUCAGCCACACUGGGACUGAGACACGGCCCAGACUCCUACGGGAGGCAGCAGUGGGGAAUAUUGGACAAUGGGCGCAAGCCUGAUCCAGCAAUACCGCGUGUGUGAAGAAGGCCUUAGGGUUGUAAAGCACUUUCAAUUGGGAGGAAAACCUGUCGGUCAAUACCCGGCAGCUUGACAUUACCUUUAGAAGAAGCACCGGCUAACUCCGUGCCAGCAGCC
rnacentral:rRNA from 1 species